UGAGGAAUCUUCCACAAUGGGCGAAAGCCUGAUGGAGCAACGCCGCGUGCAGGAUGAAGGCCUUAGGGUUGUAAACUGCUUUUAUGAGUGAAGAAUAUGACGGUAACUCAUGAAUAAGCACCGGCUAACUACGUGCCAGCAGCCGCGGUCAUACGUAGGGUGCAAGCAUUAUCCGGAGUGACUGGGCGUAAAGAGUUGCGUAGGUGGUUUAUUAAGUGAAUAGUGAAAGCUGGAGGCUCAACCUUACAGACUAUUAUUCAAACUGGUAAGCUCGAGAGUAGUAGAGGUAACUGGAAUUUCUUGUGUAGGAGUGAAAUCCGUAGAUAUAAGAAGGAACACCAAUGGCGUAGGCAGGUUACUGGACUAUCUCUGACACUGAGGCACGAAAGCGUGGGGAGCG
rnacentral:rRNA from 1 species